GAGUAGCCGGCGGCAGAACAACCGCACCAUCACCCAAUACACGGCCGACGACAUCCUCGCACAGCUGUGGCAUGUGACAGGUAAGGAGAAGAAACACUGGAUAUACUCCUUUCUGAAGACCUGUUAAUAUACAAGCUGCGUACAUCAAGGUGUGCUUAGCUGACGAAUGCUAAUCGUCAAUGAGUUCACAACGCCAGUGUAAAAUACCUUACGCAAAUGUAAGAAUUCUCAGUGCAAACAACACAUCAGAUUUAUCAACAGUUUGCAGUGCGGGUGUAAAAUACCUUAUGUUAAUGACAGAAUUCUUGGUGCACAUAAGACCACACCAACGUUUAUAGAACACAGAUGGGCUGUGGUUUUUCAGAUAUAUGUGAAAUCGUAAUUGUCCAGCCG
rnacentral:lncRNA from 1 species